rnacentral:rRNA from 1 species
UACGUAGGUGGCAAGCGUUGUCCGGAAUUAUUGGGCGUAAAGAGCUUGUAGGUGGUUUGUCGCGUCUGCUGUGAAAAUCCGGAGCUCAACCCCGGACUUGCAGUGGGUACGGGCAGACUAGAGUGUGGUAGGGGAGACUGGAAUUCCUGGUGUAGCGGUGGAAUGCGCAGAUAUCAGGAGGAACACCGAUGGCGAAGGCGGGUCUCUGGGCUGUAACUGACGCUGAGGAGCGAAAGCAUGGGGAGCGAACAGG